rnacentral:rRNA from 1 species
UUAGUUGUUGCAGUUAAGCUCCUGGAUUUGAGGUCUUUAGUGGUCCGCCCCUUCGGGGAGCGGGUCACUGGCCUCCUAUGUUCCUAACGGUCCUCAUCCGCGAGGGUGGGGAAUCAACCGCUAGGAUCGUUUACUUUGAGGAAAUUAGAGUGUUCAAAGCAGGCGUAACUCGCCUCCGAAUACGUUAGCAUGGGAUAAUGGAAUACGACUUCGGUCUUGUUUCGUUGGUUUCGCUUGGCUGAAGUAAUGAUUGAUAGGGACAGUUGGGGGCAUUAGUAUUUAGUUGUCAGAGGUGAAAUUCUAGGAUUUACUAAAGACUGACCAAUGCUAAAGCAUUUGCCAAGGAUGUUUUCAUUAAUCAAGAACGAAAGUAGGGGGAUCGAAGACGAUCAUAUACCGUCGUAGUCUCUACCGUAAACUAUGCCGACCAGGGAUCCCGGAGAGUUGCAUGGAUGACUCCCCGCGCCACCUUGUGUAGAAAUCAUAAGUGUUUGGGUUUUGGGGGGAGUAUGGUCGCAAGGCUGAAACUUAAAGGAAUUGACGGAAGGGCACCACCAGGAGUGGAACCUGCGGCUUAAUUUGACUCAACACGGGGAAACUUACGAGGUCAGGACACUGUGAGGAUUGACAGAUUGAAAGCUCUUCUUGAUCAGUGGGUGUCAUGGCCGGAGAGUUGGUGGAGUGAUUUCUG